rnacentral:rRNA from 1 species
CCUACGGGUGGCUGCAGUGGGGAAUAUUGCACAAUGGGCGUAAGCCUGAUGCAGCCAUGCCGCGUGUGUGAAGAAGGCCUUCGGGUUGUAAAGCACUUUCAGCGGGGAGGAAGGCGGUGAGGUUAAUAACCUCAUCGAUUGACGUUACCCGCAGAAGAAGCACCGGCUAACUCCGUGCCAGCAGCCGCGGUAAUACGGAGGGUGCAAGCGUUAAUCGGAAUUACUGGGCGUAAAGCGCACGCAGGCGGUCUGUCAAGUCGGAUGUGAAAUCCCCGGGCUCAACCUGAGAACUGCAUUCGAAACUGGCAGGCUAGAGUCUUGUAGAGGGGGGUAGAAUUCCAGGUGUAGCGGUGAAAUGCGUAGAGAUCUGGAGGAAUACCGGUGGCGAAGGCGGCCCCCUGGACAAAGACUGACGCUCAGGUGCGAAAGCGUGGGGAGCAAACAGGAUUAGAUACCCCGGUAGUC